AUUGAACGCUGGCGGCAGGCCUAACACAUGCAAGUCGAGCGGAUGAAGGGAGCUUGCUCCUGGAUUCAGCGGCGGACGGGUGAGUAAUGCCUAGGAAUCUGCCUGAUAGUGGGGGAUAACGUCCGGAAACGGGCGCUAAUACCGCAUACGUCCUGAGGGAGAAAGUGGGGGAUCUUCGGACCUCACGCUAUCAGAUGAGCCUAGGUCGGAUUAGCUAGUUGGUGGGGUAAAGGCCUACCAAGGCGACGAUCCGUAACUGGUCUGAGAGGAUGAUCAGUCACACUGGAACUGAGACACGGUCCAGACUCCUACGGGAGGCAGCAGUGGGGAAUAUUGGACAAUGGGUGAAAGCCUGAUCCAGCCAUGCCGCGUGUGUGAAGAAGGUCUUCGGAUUGUAAAGCACUUUAAGUUGGGAGGAAGGGCAGUAAGUUAAUACCUUGCUGUUUUGACGUUACCAACAGAAUAAGCACCGGCUAACUUCGUG
rnacentral:rRNA from 1 species